rnacentral:rRNA from 1 species
UUUUGAAGGGAAUUUUAAAAAGUUGACUUGAGGUAACAGCGGAGGAUCAUUGCUGGAACGCGCUUCGGCGCACCCAGAAACCCUUUGGGAUUUAAACCUAUACUGUUGCCUCGGCGCUGGCCGGCCUCCUCACCGAGGCCCCCUGGAGACAGGGAGCAGCCCGCCGGCGGCCAAACAAACUCUUGUUUCUUAAGUGAAUCUCUGAGUAAAAAAACCAUAAUGAAUUCAAAACUUUCAACAACGGAUUCUCUUGGUUCUGGCAUCGAUGAAGAACGCAGCGAAAUGCGAUAAGUAAUUGUGAAUUGCAGAAUUUCAGUGAAUCAUCGAAUCUUUGAACGCACAUUGCGCCCUUCUGGUAUUCCGGGAGGGCAUGCCUGUUCGGAGCGUCAUUUCAACCCCUCAAGCCUAGCUUGGUGUUGGGGCACCCGCCUUUGCAAAAGGGCGGGCCCUGAAAAUCUAGUGGCGAGCUCGCCAGGACCCCGAGCGUAGUAGUUAUAUCUCGUUCUGGAAAGGCCCUGGCGGUGCCCUGCCGUUAAACCCCCAACUUCUGAAAUUUUGACCUCGGAUCAGGUAGGAAUACCCGCUGAACUUAAGCAUAUCAAUAAGCGGAGGAAAAGAAACCAACAGGGAUUGCCCUAGUAACGGCGAGUGAAGCGGCAACAGCUCAAAUUUGAAAUCUGGCUUCGGCCCGAGUUGUAAUUUGCAGAGGAUGUUUCUGGCGCGGUGCCUUCCGAGUUCCCUGGAACGGGACGCCAAAGAGGGUGAGAGCCCCGUAUGGUUGGACACCAAGCCUGUGUGAAACUCCUUCAACGAGUCGAGUAGUUUGGGAAUGCUGCUCUAAAUGGGAGGUAAAUCUCUUCUAAAGCUAAAUACCGGCCAGAGACCGAUAGCGCACAAGUAGAGUGAUCGAAAGAUGAAAAGCACCUUGAAAAGGGGGUUAAAUAGUACGUGAAAUUGUUGAAAGGGAAGCACUUAUGACCAGACUUGGGCCGGGSGGCUCAUCAGGGGGUUUCUCCCCUGUGCACUCCGCCCGGCACAGGCCAGCAUUCGGUUUUCGCGGGGGGAUAAGACCGUCAGGAACGUAGCAUCUACGGGGGUGUGUUAUAGCCUGGCGGACGAUACCCUCGCGGGGACCGAGUCCGCCCCCCGCAAGGAUGUUGGAUAGGGGAUAAUGACCUCUUGAAAAACCGGAC